rnacentral:rRNA from 1 species
AAAUCCUACGGGGCGCAGCAGUGAGGAAUAUUGGUCAAUGGGCGGAAGCCUGAACCAGCCAAGUCGCGUGAGGGAUUAAGGCCCUGCGGGUCGUAAACCUCUUUUGCCGGGGAGCAGAGGUCCGGACGUGUCCGGGCCGGGAGAGUACCCGGAGAAAAGGCAUCGGCUAACUACGUGCCAGCAGCCGCGGUAAUACGUAGGGGGCAAGCGUUAUCCGGAUUUACUGGGUGUAAAGGGAGCGUAGACGGCGAUG